rnacentral:rRNA from 1 species
GACGAACGCUGGCGGCGUGCCUAAUACAUGCAAGUAGAACGCACGGUUUAUACCGUAGCUUGCUACACCAUAGACUGUGAGUUGCGAACGGGUGAGUAACGCGUAGGUAACCUGACUGGUAGCGGGGGGUAACUAUUGGAAACGAUAGCUAAUACCGCAUAAUAUUGAUUAUUGAAUGAUAAUUAAUUGAAAUGUGCAAUUGCACCACUACCAGAUGGACCUGCGUUGUAUUAGCUAGUAGGUGAGGUAACGGCUCACCUAGGGGACGAUACAUAACCGACCUGAGAGGGUGAUCCGCCACACUGGGACCUGGACACGGCCCAGACUCCCACGGGAGGGAGCAGGAGGGAAUCUUCGGCAAUGGACGAAAGUCUGACCGAGCAACGCCGGGGUAGUGAAGAAGGGUUUCGGAUCGUAAAGCUCUGUUGUAAGGGGAGAACGGGUGUGAGAGUGGAAAGUUCACACUGUGACGGUAUCUGACCAGAAAGGGACGGCUAACUACGUG